rnacentral:rRNA from 1 species
AGCAGCCGCGGUAAUUCCAGCUCCAAUAGCGUAUAUUAAAGUUGUUGCAGUUAAAAAGCUCGUAGUUGAAUUUCGGAAUUUGUCGGUUGGUCGGGCUUCACUGUCCGCACUGACCUGAUGGAUUCCUACCUUCUGAAUAACCAGCAUGCUAUUAAGUUAGUGCGUUGGGGAAGCAGAGCUAUUACCUUGAAAAAAUUAGAGUGCUUAAAGCAGGCUUGUGCUUGAAUAGAUUAGCAUGGAAUAAUAAAAUAGGACGGCAUGGUUCUAUUUUGUUGGUUUCUAGGAUCACCGUAAUGAUUAAUAGGGAUAGUUGGGGGCAUUAGUAUUCAAUUGUCAGAGGUGAAAUUCUUGGAUUUAUUGAAGACUAACUUCUGCGAAAGCAUUUGCCAAGGAUGUUUUCAUUAAUCAAGAACGAAAGUUAGGGGAUCGAAGACGAUCAGAUACCGUCGUAGUCUUAACCAUAAACUAUGCCGACUAGGGAUCGGACGAUGUUAAUUUUUUAAUGACUCGUUCGGCGCCUUACGG